rnacentral:rRNA from 1 species
GAUGAACGCUGGCGGCGUGCCUAAUACAUGCAAGUCGAGCGAACAGAUGAGGAGCUUGCUCCUCUGACGUUAGCGGCGGACGGGUGAGUAACACGUGGAUAACCUACCUAUAAGACUGGGAUAACUUCGGGAAACCGGAGCUAAUACCGGAUAAUAUAUUGAACCGCACGGUUCAAUAGUGAAAGACGGUUUUGCUGUCACUUAUAGAUGGAUCCGCGCCGCAUUAGCUAGUUGGUAAGGUAACGGCUUACCAAGGCAACGAUGCGUAGCCGACCUGAGAGGGUGAUCGGCCACACUGGAACUGAGACACGGUCCAGACUCCUACGGGAGGCAGCAGUAGGGAAUCUUCCGCAAUGGGCGAAAGCCUGACGGAGCAACGCCGCGUGAGUGAUGAAGGUCUUCGGAUCGUAAAACUCUGUUAUUAGGGAAGAACAAAUGUGUAAGUAACUAUGCACGUCUUGACGGUACCUAAUCAGAAAGCCACGGCUAACUACGU